rnacentral:rRNA from 1 species
UGGUUAAGCUAAUAAGAGCACACGGAGGAUGCCUAGGCGCCAGGAGCCGACGAAGGACGUGGCGAACAACGAAACUGCCUCGGGGAGCUGUAAGCAAGCUUUGAUCCGGGGGUGUCCGAAUGGGGAAACCCAGCUGUGGUAAUUCGCAGUUACUCCUCUCUGAAUACAUAGGAGAGGUAGAGGCAGACCAGGGGAACUGAAACAUCUAAGUACCCUGAGGAAGAGAAAACAAUAGUGAUUCCGUCAGUAGCGGCGAGCGAACGCGGAACAGCCUAAACCUAAGAGCUUGCUCUUAGGGGUUGUGGGACGUCUCACAUGGAGUUACAAAGGAAUAUGGUAGGCGAAGAGGUCUGGAAAGACCCGCGAUAGAGGUAAAAGCCCUGUAGCCUAAACUGUAUUCUCUCCGAGACGGAUCCCGAGUAGUGCGGGGCACGUGAAACCCCGUAUGAAUCCAGCAGGACCAUCUGCUAAGGCUAAAUACUACCUGGCGACCGAUAGUGAAACAGUACCGUGAGGGAAAGGUGAAAAGCACCCCGGAAGGGGAGUGAAAUAGAACCUGAAACCGUGUGCUUACAAAAAGUCAGAGCCCGUUUUAGGGGUGAUGGCGUGCCUUUUGUAGAAUGAACCGGCGAGUUACGUUUACCAUGCAAGGUUAAGGUGAGAAGCCGGAGCCGCAGCGAAAGCGAGUCUGAAUAGGGCGAUUUGAGUAUGGGGGCGUAGACCCGAAACCGUGUGAUCUACCCCUGUCCAGGGUGAAGGUGCGGUAACACGCACUGGAGGCCCGAACCCACGCAUGUUGAAAAAUGCGGGGAUGAGGUGGGGGUAGCGGAGAAAUUCCAAUCGAACUCGGAGAUAGCUGGUUCUCCCCGAAAUAGCUUUAGGGCUAGCCUCGGUAUAAGAAUAGUGGAGGUAGAGCACUGAUUGGGUGCGGGGCCCGCAAGGGUUACCAAGCUCAGUCAAACUCCGAAUGCCACAUAUUUAUUGCCGGGAGUCAGACAGUGAGUGCUAAGAUCCAUUGUCGAAAGGGAAACAGCCCAGACCAUCAGCUAAGGUCCCCAAGUGUGUGUUAAGUGGGAAAGGAUGUGGAGUUGCACAGACAACCAGGAUGUUGGCUUAGAAGCAGCCACCAUUGAAAGAGUGCGUAAUAGCUCACUGGUCGAGUGACUCUGCGCCGAAAAUGUAACGGGGCUAAACACACCACCGAAGCUAUGGCUAGGAUCGACUUCACUGCUUCUUUGAGCGGUGUUUAUCAGAAAUAGACAUGUAUGCCUGAAAUCAUCCUGGAAGGGAUGAAGGCUAUAUGUUCUACAGGGGAUAAACACAUUUCGAAGCUGGAGUGAAGUCGAUCCUGGGGUAGGGGAGCGUUGUAUAUACGUUGAAGGUAUACCGUGAGGAGUGCUGGAGCGUAUACAAGUGAGAAUGCCGGUAUGAGUAACGAAAAGAUCAGUGAGAAUCUGAUCCGCCGAAAGCCCAAGGUUUCCUGAGGAAGGCUCGUCCGCUCAGGGUAAGUCGGGACCUAAGGCGAGGCCGAAAGGCGUAGUCGAAGGACAACAGUUUGAAAUUACUGUACCACCGUAAUCCGCUAUGAGCGAUGGGGUGACGCAGGAGGGUAGUGACGCGGACUGAUGGAUGUGUCCGUCUAAGCAGUGAGGCUGAUGUGUAGGCAAAUCCGCACAUCGUGAAGGCUGGGCUGUGAUGGGGAGCGAAAAUGUUAGUAGCGAAGGUCAUGAUCUCACACUGCCAAGAAAAGCCUCUAGCCAGGAGAAGGUGCCCGUACCGCAAACCGACACAGGUAGGCGAGAAGAGAAUUCUAAGGCGCGCGGAAGAACUCUCGUUAAGGAACUCGGCAAAAUGACCUCGUAACUUCGGGAGAAGAGGUGCCUCGGUAGGGUGAAUAGCCCGAGGGGGCCGCAGUGAAAAGGCCCAAGCGACUGUUUAGCAAAAACACAGGUCUGUGCGAAGCCGUAAGGCGAAGUAUACGGGCUGACGCCUGCCCGGUGCUGGAAGGUUAAGGGGAGCGGUUAGGAGCAAUCCGAAGCUGUGAACCGAAGCCCCAGUAAACGGCGGCCGUAACUAUAACGGUCCUAAGGUAGCGAAAUUCCUUGUCAGGUAAAUUCUGACCCGCACGAAUGGCGUAACGACUUGGGCGCUGUCUCAACGAGAGAUCCGGUGAAAUUUUAAUACCUGUGAAGAUGCAGGUUACCCGCGACAAGACGGAAAGACCCCAUGGAGCUUUACUGCAGCUUGAUAUUGAAUUUGGGUACGAUCUGUACAGGAUAGGUGGGAGCCAGAGAAGCAGGAGCGCAAGCUUCUGCAGAGGCGCCGUUGGGAUACCACCCUGAUCGUAUCUAGGUUCUAACCUAGUGCCCUAAUCGGGUACGGGGACCGUGUCAGGCGGGCAGUUUGACUGGGGCGGUCGCCUCCUAAAGAGUAACGGAGGCGUUCCAAGGUUCCCUCAGAAUGGUUGGAAAUCAUUCGCAGAGUGCAAAGGCAUAAGGGAGCUUGACUGCGAGACCUACAAGUCGAGCAGGGACGAAAGUCGGACUUAGUGAUCCGGUGGUACCGCAUGGAAGGGCCAUCGCUCAACGGAUAAAAGCUACCCUGGGGAUAACAGGCUUAUCUCCCCCAAGAGUCCACAUCGACGGGGAGGUUUGGCACCUCGAUGUCGGCUCAUCGCAUCCUGGGGCUGAAGUAGGUCCCAAGGGUUGGGCUGUUCGCCCAUUAAAGCGGUACGCGAGCUGGGUUCAGAACGUCGUGAGACAGUUCGGUCCCUAUCUGUCGUGGGCGCAGGAAAUUUGAGAGGAGCUGUCCUUAGUACGAGAGGACCGGGAUGGACGUACCGCUGGUGCACCAGUUGUUCCGCCAGGAGCAUGGCUGGGUAGCUACGUACGGACGGGAUAAGCGCUGAAAGCAUCUAAGCGUGAAGCCCCCCUCAAGAUGAGAUUUCCCAAUUAGUAAGACCCCUUGAAGACGACGAGGUAGAUAGGUUGGAGGUGGAAGUGCAGCAAUGCAUGGAGCUGACCAAUACUAAUCGGUCGAGGGCUUAUCCACAA